UACAGAGGUCUCAAGCGUUGUUCGGAUUCAUUGGGCGUAAAGGGUGCGUAGGUGGCGCCGUAAGUCAGGUGUGAAAUUUCGGAGCUUAACUCCGAAACUGCAUUUGAUACUGCGGUGCUUGAGGACUGGAGAGGAGACUGGAAUUCACGGUGUAGCAGUGAAAUGCGUAGAUCUCGAGAGGAACACCAGUGGCGAAGGCGGGUCUCUGGACAACACCUGACGCUGAGGCACGAAAGCCAGGGGAGCAAACGGG
rnacentral:rRNA from 1 species